rnacentral:rRNA from 1 species
CCCUUAGAUGUUCUGGGCUGCACUCGCGCUACACUGAUGCGUUCAACGAGUUUAUAACCUUGCCCGAUAGGGUUGGGUAAUGUUUUAAAAUCGCAUCGUGAUGGGGAUAGAUCAUUGCAACUAUUAGUCUUCAACGAGGAAUUCCUAGCAAGCGCGAGUCAUCAGCUCGUGCUGAUUACGUCCCUGCCCUUUGUACACACCGCCCUUCGCUCCUACCGAUUGAGUGAUCCGGUGAAAAAUUCGGACGGCAGCAGUGUUUUGUUCCUGAACGUUGCAGCGGAAAGUUUAGUGAACCUUAUCACUUAGAGGAAGGGGAANUCGUANCA